rnacentral:rRNA from 1 species
AAAGUGGGGGAUGCGCUUGCGCACCUCAUGCUCCUGGAGCGGCCGAUAUCUGAUUAGCUAGUUGGUAGGGUAAAAGCCUACCAAGGCAUCGAUCAGUAGCUGGUCUGAGAGGACGACCAGCCACACUGGAACUGAGACACGGUCCAGACUCCUACGGGAGGCAGCAGUGGGGAAUUUUGGACAAUGGGCGCAAGCCUGAUCCAGCAAUGCCGCGUGAGUGAAGAAGGCCUUCGGGUUGUAAAGCUCUUUUGUCAGGGAAGAAACGGUGAUUUCUAAUACAGAUUGCUAAUGAC